AUGCUAGCCAGAGUUUGGACUGUUGCUGCUGCUCCUGGCACCUGGGUGAGACAUCUUCCCAAGGAAACAUCUGAACUUGCCCUGGGAGCUGAAUUUAAAUUGUUGACAUGUGGAGGGAAAAAAAAAGAAAAGUUGCCAAAGCCUGUACUUGAGAGAGUCUCCAACAAUGGCCCUAUCUCUCAGGUAAGAACCUCCUGGUGGUUUGGAAAACUUUUUUUAUUUUAUAAUUAUGAGUUUAAAAUGUUUGUAGAAGUAGAGUAGAGUAGAGUUUACCUCUACUUCUGAAUGUAAUUUUUGAAAGUUGAACCACUUUGAUAGAGAAUUACUACAAAAACUACCCUAAUGCAAUACUAGGCAUAUUGUGAAUUUUUGAUAAACCCUAAAAAUGAGAGGCAAUCUGGCAAAACAGAUAGAGGACUAGCCUUGGCAUUAGGAAGACCUGGUUAAUAAUGUCUCUGACACCUAUCAGCUGGGAGACCCUAAGUGACCAACUUAACUUCUUAGCGCUGCAGAACAACUUUUAGAUUAUAAUUAGAUAACAAAUACAUCUGGAGGCAGUUUUCAUAGGAUCAUGUAGCUAAAAUUGGAAGGGAUUUUUCAAGCUCUCUAGUCCAACCCCUCAUUUAUCAGAAGAGGAAACUGAGAACUAAGAAGUUCAAGUGAGGUUGGAUCAUAAGUGAAAUAUGAACCCAGGUGCACUGGCAUUGGAAGAAAUACUCUUUCUGCUAUACCAUGCUGCUUCCCAAUUGUCCCAGUCCUCCCCAUACACUUUUCCUAAACCCAUAAAAUCAAAGAUUAGGAACCUAAGAAAGUUCUAAAAGAUCAGUAAAAGGAAAAAAGAACUCUCUUGUUGUUCAAUCAUGUCCAAAUGUGAUCCCCGUUGGGAUUUUCUUAGCAAAGAUACUGGAAUGCUUUGCCGUCUCCUUCCCUUGCUUAUUUUAUAACUCAAUUACAGUAAAUUAAAGCAAAAAGGAUUUGCCCAGCUAUGUAUCUAUGAAGAUGAACUCAUGAAAAAGAGUUUUCCUGACUUGAAGCCCAGCACUCUAUUCACUUUACUGCUUCUAUCUAAAAGAUACCAUUUCUCCGUCU
rnacentral:lncRNA from 1 species